CCUACGGGAUGCAGCAGUGAGGAAUAUUGGUCAAUGGGCGCGAGCCUGAACCAGCCAAGUAGCGUGAAGGAUGACUGCCCUACGGUUUGUAAACUUCUUUUAUAAAGGAAUAAAGUGAGGCACGUGUGCCUUUUUGUAUUUACUUUAUGUAUAAGGAUCGGCUAACUCCGUGCCAGCAGCCGCGGUAAUACGGUGGAUCCGAGCGUUAUCCGGAUGUAUUGGGUUUAAAGGGAGCGUAGAUGGGUUGUUAAGUCAGUUGUGAAAGUUUGCGGCUCAACCGUAAAAUUGCAAUUGAUACUGGCAGUCUUGAGUGCAGUAGAGGUAGGCGGAAUUCGUGGUGUAGCGGUGAAAUGCUUAGAUAUCACGAAGAACUCCGAUUGCGAAGGCAGCUUACUAAACUGCAACUGACAUUGAUGCUCGAAAGUGUGGGUAUCAAACAGGAUUAGAUACCCUUGUAGUC
rnacentral:rRNA from 1 species